rnacentral:lncRNA from 1 species
GGAAUUCUAACUACCUAAGGUUUUCUAAAAUUCAUAUGCAAAAUUUAAAUAACUAAAAUAAAUAAAUAAUUAUCAAAUAAAUUAUAAAUAAUUAGUAAAAAAAAUUAUAGUUGCAGGUAGUUCACAAGUAGAGAGUAAUAAGACAGGAGUAAGUAAUUUGCAAGUACAUCAUUUUUAGCAAGUAUUUGAAAUUGUAAAUCCCGAU